UACGGGGGGGGCAAGCGUUGUUCGGAAUUACUGGGCGUAAAGGGCUCGUAGGUGGCCAACUAAGUCAGACGUGAAAUCCCUCGGCUUAACCGGGGAACUGCGUCUGAUACUGGAUGGCUUGAAUCCGGGAGAGGGAUGCGGAAUUCCAGGUGUAGCGGUGAAAUGCGUAGAUAUCUGGAGGAACACCGGUGGCGAAGGCGGCAUCCUGGACCGGCAUUGACGCUGAGGAGCGAAAGCUAGGGGAGCAAAUGGG
rnacentral:rRNA from 1 species